GUUGAACAUUGUCAGUGCGACAAGCUGUUUAUAUAUGUUUUAUCAUUAUUAUUACUAUUAUUAUUAUUAGUGUUAUUAUUAUUGUCAGUGAAACAGGUAGUAGCUUUAUGACAACUGAUAGAUUUGGUGGGACAACCACCGCCGCCACCACGAUAACAACGACCACGACUAAGUACCCGGUCUGGACUUGUAAACGAACUGCUCUCACCGCUCUCUAUUCGUCUCUCUCUCUCUCUCUCUCUCGCUUUCUUUCUCUCUUUUUCACUUUGUCUAGCUCUCACUCUUUAGUGUACUUUUCCUCUUCCUCUCUCUUUCUCUUCUCUUCUCUUUCUCACACAUACUCAGACACACACUCUCUCCUUCUUCCCCUCUCUUCCUUUUCUGAUAUUACAUUCUAGUUUCACCUUAGAUCCAUCGUUUCGUUCAUGUGGACUAACGAGUUUACAUGCAGGUAAUCAGAAGAAGAAAAAAAGGGAGAAAAAAAUCAGUUUAUAGACCUACUGCAGUUCUUAGCAGACAAUUUUACCCGACAGGAACAAAAUAAUAAUAAUAACAAUAAUAAUAACAAUCGGAAGCAAGAUAAACCGCGAAGGGAUACUAAUUAUAAUAAGGAGGCUUAUUGUACACCCGAAACUUGGAGUCAACCAACAUAAACAAAAACAAAAGAUGAUAAAUGCUUAUGAAAUCAUGCAUGAAUGACGUGUCAUGAAAUUCUAAAAUUGCUGGAGUGAGAAUACCUGAAAAAAGAAAUAAUAUAUGCCCAAGGCCUAAUACACUUAAUCAAAACUCAGACCUGCCUCACUUGUAAGAAGAAAAACUCGGAGGAUUUUAUUUUGUUGCUGUUUUUGCUAUUUGUAAAUUUCAUUUUAAUUACUGAACCAUUAUGUGAGAAAUCAAAAUCUUCACAUACUUAUUUUUCUUCCCACCCGAAUCUCGAAGAAAUACUCGUAUAUAAUUACAAUCACUGAAUACCAACGAUAUUGUGAUCAAUAAAAAAAAUAUCACAUAUUUUCUAAUAUAAAAUUAAAAAGUAAAACAUGGAAACGAUUAGAAAAUACUUAAAAAAGAAGCCAAAAGAUUCAAAUGGCAUUGACGGCAAAUAUACCAUACCUGAAGAACUUAAGAGACAAUUUCCAGAUUAUAACACAGAUUCUACGGAAACGCAUCGUUUACGAACAAUUUCAAUUUCUAGGUCUGGUAGAUUCAAACCAAAACGAGAUCGCGGUGCCAUUUCACAGAGACCAGAUAUAUUUCAACAGCCAGCCAAGGAAAAGAAAGAGGAAGCGGCAUCCAGAGAAGAAAGGAAACAUGAUAGCCCUCGAACAACUCGGUCAUCGAAUAAUAAUUACCGGUAACAAACUAUCACUAAAAUAAGCUGGUUAUCCGUUUAAGCUAUAACUUUCUGGACUCGAGAAGCUAUGUAAUAUGGCGUUUACAAAUUCGCGCCAUAUUGCAAAAAAAAAAUGUAUAUCUAACAGAGAAAAAAAAAUUGAAAAUGAAAAAUAAAGAGUUACAUCCAAGAAUACAUAGUAUAUGGACAAAUGUAUAUACAUUUGUGAGCACAGCGAUUAUCAUUAAUUCUUUGAAGACGCUUUUAUAACAAAUUGAACUUGGAUAGGCGGGAGCGAUAAAAAAAAGUACCAGGCAUAAACUGGAAUAGAUUCAAAACGUUCAGUCGAUCACACUCUUCCUCUACAAAUUCGUCGGCUUUACACCAAUGUAAAAAAAAAAGUCGAAGUAUUUUAAAAUUUAGUAUUGUUUUAAUUCAACAGCAUUUUAGUAAAUGACAUUGUUAAAAUAAGGUUUAAACAUGUAAUUAUAUAUAUGCAUGAUGUAUGCGCAUAAUGUAUGUAUAACCUGUGUGCGUAUGUGUGUGUGCGUGUGUGUGAUAGCCCUUCCAAGACACGUCCUGUUUAUUUCUCUUUAGAGUUGGUAUGGGGACCACACGAAUUCUGAGGAGCAAGAAAGUCGACUGGUCUUACAAAAGACAUCAUCAUUAUAAAUAUCCCUACUUUAUUAUGUCUUGAAUACUUUGCCUCAAAUUGCGGUUUCUCCAUUGUUUGAAACGUAAUUAUGCAACUAUGUGCAUGUGCAUGUGCAUGUGUAUGUGUGUGUACGUGCAUGCAUGCGUGCGUGUGUGAGUGUGAGAGAGAAAAAGAGAGAGAAAGUGGGGAGCGCAGUUUGACUGAUUGUUUUAGGAGAUUGUUUUACAGCCAUAAGAUUCUGGUAUCGAUUCUACCGUGUGCCAUCUUGGGUAAAUGUCAUUUUCUGUAGCUACGGCUCGAUCCAUACAUUGUAAAUGGAACCGGACAGCACGAAAACUACAUAGGCUCUCGUGAUAGAUCGUGCCUAUAAUACAACAUGCAUGGCCUUCCCGCUGAUUCUAUCUGAGAACUACGUUAAGGGUACAGGUGCAGGUAAUUCACUUGAUCGAACAAUUGAGUCCUCCUCGGUGAACGAAGUCACAUGCACACGCGAACACACACACACACACACACACACACACACACACACACACACACACACACACACACACACACACACACACACACACAUAUCUGUGUAUUUGGGCUUAUAUGCGUUUAGAAUGAAAUACGUGUAUGUACUCAAGCAAAGAUAUAUUAAUAUAUAAGAUAUAUGAAUAUAUUUAUAAAGACAUAUAGAUAUAUUUAUGUAUAUAGUGGGAUAUGUAGAAAUAUAGACACAUAUAGACAUACAAAAGUUGCACAGGUUGCAGACCAUGAUGAGUUUCCGUGUCUCAUUGUCUUGACUUGAAGCCUUCCCAAAUUCAUAUUCUUCUCGCACUGUUAUGGCGUUGACACAAUGUACACCAGCAAUAUAUUAGAGAACGUUCGGCCUACUUUAACUACGAAAUUUGUAAAAAGUUGGUAUUACAAAGAUAUCAGUAUUUGUUAGUCUGUUGGGGAGGGAGAGUUUCUAAGGGUCGUUUUAGACCCUCUCUGGUUGCGGACAUGGAAUGACGAGGUGAAGUUGUUGCACUAUGUAUAUAUUUGUGUGUGUGCAUAUAUAUAUGACAAGAGUAGAGAUUCAAAGAAUCAAAUAGAACUCAGCUGUCAACAAUGGAUGAAAUAUCUAUUCUCUCACUUCAUUUGUUUUAUCUGAUCAAGUUAUAUACAUACAUACAUAUAUAUAUAUAUAUAUAUAUAUAUAUAUAUAUAUUCAAGAUUAAAUAAAAAGAUAACGGAAAAUGACAUACCUGUAUAUAUAUAUAUAUGUAUAUAUAUAUAUAUAUAUAUAUAAUUCAACAAAGCGUGUAGAAAAACAUACGAACAUAUACUAAACACACAGACUAACGGAAAACACAGGUCACCAACUCCUCUUCAGUUACUGGCCAGAGGGUCGAGCGUAAUUCCGCGACGGCCUAAGGCGGUUUCAUUCUUUUACGAGUUGCCUUCGACCAGACUGGUCACGAUUUUCUGAGCUCCUCGGUCUACUCCUCCUGUGUUUAUAGUCCUUUAGGACAGUUUUUCAUUUCGCCUUCGCGUUACCCAUUUUUGUCUUGUCUUGCAGUCCUAGGUCUUUAUUUGCUGUAUAUGUAUCAUGAUUUUUAAUUGUUGUCUUCGUGUGGCCCUAAGCUUUUAUUCUGUUUAUUGUUUUGUUAUGUUUUGGUCCGAUUCCCGGCAAGUUUCUUGCCGGUGCUUCCAGAGUGGAAUUAGUAUUAUCGAUAAUGGCCGAAAUUGCGCUUGACCGUCUGACCAAUAACUGAAGAGGAAUCGGUGACCUUCUGUGUUUUCCGUUCGUCUGUGUAUUUAGUAUAUGUUCGCAUGUUUAUUUUCUACACUUUUUUAAAAUUAUAUAUAUAUACAUAUAUAUAUAUAAACACACACACACACACACACACACACACAUGUCAUUUCCCGUUGUCGAGUUAUUUAAUCCUGAAAAUAUUUAUGUAACGCACGCACUCAUUUAUUUUUUUACGUAUAUGUAUAUAUAUAUAUACAUAUAUAUAUACAUACAUACAUACAUAUAUAUAUAUAUAUAUAUAUAUAUAUAUAUAUACUUAC